AGGACGAACGCUGGCGGCGUGCUUAACACAUGCAAGUCGAGCGGAAAGGCCCUUCGGGGUACUCGAGCGGCGAACGGGUGAGUAACACGUGGGCAACCUGCCCUUAGCUCUGGGAUAGCUCCGGGAAACCGGAAUUAAUACCGGAUAUGACCUAGGCCGACAUCGGCCGUGGUGGAAAGUUUUUCGGCUAGGGAUGGACUCGCGGCCUAUCAGCUAGUUGGUGGGGUAAUGGCCUACCAAGGCGACGACGGGUAGCCGGCCUGAGAGGGCGACCGGCCACACUGGGACUGAGACACGGCCCAGACUCCUACGGGAGGCAGCAGUGGGGAAUCUUGCGCAAUGGGCGAAAGCCUGACGCAGCGACGCCGCGUGGGGGAUGAAGGCCUUCGGGUUGUAAACCCCUUUCAGCAGGGACGAAGCGAACGUGACGGUACCUGCAGAAGAAGCGCCGGCUAACUACGUGCCAGCAGCCGC
rnacentral:rRNA from 1 species